UAAGUAAUUUUAUCAUGCCUAAUUUAACACCAGGGGGCGCUGUUGUUGAAGAAAUGCAUUUACUAUAAGCAGGCAACGCCCAUAAUAAUAAACAGUUUUAAAACAGCUUUUCUAAUCCUAGAAUAACAUGUUUUUACACUGAACUAUUUUACAGUAAUAAAGAGCACCAAUCAGAAAUAGCUUUGUCCUUGUUGACCUUCACUAACAAAGCACAGAGCACUAAAUACUCUGAACAGAAAUUUGAGACUGAACAAGCUUGUGUGUUGGUGGUUCUCUAAAGCUCUAGUUUCUCUUACAUGAAUAAUGAAGGGUUUCUGAUGUCUGACACUGGUGUGUGACAACACGAUAAGGUUCUAACAUUUACAAUCCUACUCAAAGCUUUAGACAUAGUCAUUCCUUCUCUAGACAAACAAGUGAUGCCAUCCCCUCAUAAUAAUCACAUCAUUAUGUUGAUGUUUGUUAUUGUUUUUUUUAGGCAUUACCUCACCUGACACCUCCCUCAAUACUUGACCCAGAAAAGAUCUAUAGAACCACAGUAUCUGAGCUUCACUCUGAACUCCAGUUAAUCCAGUAUGGAGGGUUACAGUGUUUCCCUCCAGCUCCUGCAGUUUAACCACCUCUUCUCCAGCUGUGAACAGCACACCUGAAACAGUGUUGUGUAAAUCCCUCUCUGGACCUUCUGUUCAAAACUAAAUCCAGAAAACCUGCUAAAAGGGUAGGCAGAGUGGACUGAACAGUGUUAUAUGAAGUAAACAGGUCAGGCAUUGUUUAUCUCACCGGCAAAACCCAAAUGAAUCAUCCAACCACAUUAACCUAUUUAUUACCUAGUCCUUUAUCUUGUUUCCUGUACCUAACUUCUCUGUUUCGAUGAUUUGCCAGCUGUUGGAAGCUUUUAUACAAACAGAGAAUAUAUGACACCCCCUCCCCCCCAAAACUAUACAAUAAGCCACACCCAGUCUGUAACAUAUGUUUUUUUUUUAUGAAAGCGUUGACUUUGUUUAACAUCUGUUAAUAUUGAAAUAAAUAAAUAGUUUAAAUAA